CAAAUUUGGCACAUUGGAACAGUUAGAGCAGAGACAAGGAUGCUUUGUGGGCUGGUGCUUAGGAGUGCUGCACUUCCGAGCACUGGCUGGGGCACAGUGCUCAUGGGAGUGCAGGGUUUUCGUCUGCCAACUGUGCAGCCAAACAAGGGGCUCUGCAGACCCCGACAUUUCAGAGCCAGCGACACCACAUGAGGUGCUGCACUCCACACAUCAUGGUACCUUCAUCUCAUCCAUGCUGUGUGCCUGCUGCUAGCGAACUCCACAUGCCUGCCUGGACUAACACUGCCCCAAACCAGAUGGAGUCGUCAGGAUUAAAUAAAAUUAACAUUCCUUAUAGUUGAAAAUGUAAGUGGCUCAUAGACCAGGUGUCUGGUGUGGUUACAGUCCAGUACAGCUAUCUCUGUGCUUCUGGGAUUAAAAGUGGACAGCUGUGGCUUGAGGAAUGGGGAAGAGUUCAGGUAUACGUGGGUUUGGAUAGUAGAUGAAGGGCUGUAGCCUUGAAACUAGUUAUAGGAAACAUGUUGAGUUGUUUCCCUUGCCUCCCCCUUCCCAGAGAGCUGGCUCCCUCUCACAUGCCAUGGGAGGGGGGAGGGAGAGAGGGGGAGAUGGUGAGUGCUACAAGUCCACUGUGCCACUACGUGUCCGCUGUGCCACCACAACAACGACCAACAUGCAUCUAGCUACCUGCCCAUGCCUCCGCCCUGUUUGAAAGGGAGCAAUGUGCCAAGCUCGGCCUCUGCACAGCAGGACUCAUAAGGAAGCCAGCCCCAGGUCAAUGUCCAGGGAAUACCAGGAGGCUUCCUGCAAGCCCAGCACAGCUUUGUGCCCAGAGAGGCAAUUUAAAGGCCAAGUGGAGACUGUUCCCCCUCAAAUGCAAAACGGAUGGGGUCCUUACAGUUACAUCUUUGCAUUUGCAACGAUUCCUUCAUGCAGGUUUAAUCUCCCUCUUUUCUUGGCAGAGGUUAUGGUCCCCUCAAUCAUCUCAGCCCUGCUGGAUGAUAUUUUAGAGGUCACUUUAAUAACCUCUCCUUGCUUGUCCUCCAUGAAGGACAGAGUAGAGGAGCUAAAGCCUCUUGGCUGGAAGGUGUAAGUGGGAUUAGGGAGAGGAUUGAGCUCUGAAAGGCCGACGCUUCCCAUGCUGAAGAGAUUCUCCUCUCCCUCCAGCAGCUUCCUGCAAGCACAUCAUAAGGGAAAAGGUUAGUCUUAGGAUAUCUUAUAUGAAACGUGCAAAGCCUGGGGCAUGCUGUGACCUGCGAGCAAGUCCAAGUACUGCAGGCCACCACACCAGCCUGCAAUGGACACUGGCUUGGGUCAUGCUGUGCCAUGGAACUGAUUCAAAAUAAUAUGCUUUGGUGAACAGUUUUUGGAGCACCUGCAAUAUGGGGUACAUGAGACCAGUUCCCUCCUCUCCAUUCAGAAAUGCUGGGAAAAUAAAACCACAAACCAGAGCGACUCUGCCUUUUGCAUCUACUUUGACUCUGCAAGAGAGAGAAAUUUCCAACCCCAUCAAAAGCAGCUGCUUAUGGGGUGACUGAGGGACAUGGUUCAUGUCUGCUAGAUCGAGGCAUGCCAUAGAGCCAUGGCAACUCCCCAAGCAGGGAAGAUGAGCAACACAAUGGUGUAUCUUCCUGAGUGUGUUCCCAGGUACUUUACUGGGUCCUUGGAAAUACCCCAGCCUGGUGGGGUCAGGGGAUUGGGCUUGGGAGGUCGCCAGGCAGAGCAGGGGCAGAGCAGCCUUACCUGUAUGCAGCUAUCUCAAUAUCUAGGGCCAUCUUGACAUUAAGCAGGUCUUGGUACUCCCUCAAGUGCCGAGCCAUCUCAUUUUUGGUGUUUCGCAGGUCAUCCUCCAGCUGCCCAAUGGUGUCCUGCAAAGGCAAAGAUAUUCAGGGCUGUGUUUUGGAGCAGGGACCUCUCCCACAGGUUUUAUGCUCUGCUCAUUGCAGAGACAGGGAAGCUGCAAUGGGCAGUUGGUCCAUGAUGGCACAUCCCACUAAGACCUUCAGACCAUGAAAUUUCGUGCUAACAGAGAUGGAGCAGCAGGCAACGCACUGGGCAUGGCUUGUAUCUAAGCAGAAGCCUGAAAGCAGCAAAACCUGUUCCUAUUGGGGAUCUUCUCAAUCAGAUGGUUUCCCACUGCCAGCCACCCCACUGUGCCACUGGAGGAGUGUGAUUUGGAGCAGGAAUGAUGCAGAGACAGCCAUGACAGUGAGACUGCCCAAGGAGCAGUGAGCUGUGCUGAGCCUGGUGCAGCAAGCCUCAUCUGGGCCCCAGAGAAGCAGUGGCAGCUCAUCCUGAAUAUGGCAUGAGGCACCUCAAUCAAGUUAGCUUGAUACAUCCUGCCCUGUCAGACAUUUACCAGCCAUCCUUGGGGUCUCUGCCUUGACCAGUGCUGCCUGACCAUGGAGCUGCAUGGAGCUGUGCCUCUGAGGAAGGACUGAGCAGUUCAAGAAGACCACUUGGCAUCACCUGAAAAGGACAUGCAUGGCUGCAGCCAGGACAUGCAUGGCUGCUGCUGCAGUGCAGAUUAAAAACUCUGCUCCAAUGCAGCCAGACUGCGGCUGCACUCAGCCAUGACAAGAGGGAGGGACUUGGGGUGACCCUGUCAUUGGACAGCCCCACUCUUGCUCUCUGACCCUCUGUGCCCACAGCUCCCUUCCCAAUGCUGCAGUCUGCAUGAACAAAAUGCUCUUUAAAAAUGGGUUAUCCUUGGUACCGUGCAUGUACCUACCUUCCACACCCCAGCUCUACCAGCUGGUAGAAUAACCCCCUCCCCACACCACUGCAAACCUGUCCCCUAAUGGAAAACUCUCAUAUAUUGUUUCAGAUUUGACUGGAUACCCUACAAAUAUCAAGACAUGUCCCUGAUUUAGCAGUCUACAAGAACAUUUUAAAAGCUCAAACAAUAGGAAUGUUCUCUUUUAAGAGUGUUCCAUCCAUUUCCACUGGUUGCAGCCUUUAUGUGCUGCUAGACAUGCACAUUGCUUAAAAGGCUCCUAUGUAUUGCCACACUUAAAACAGCUCCUGAGGGUCAUGUAGGAAAACACUGCUAUGCUAUCACUAAAGCAAUUUCAAUUAUGAUGUCGUUUGAUUCAGCUGCAUUUUUUAUUCCUUCUCAAUUCAUAGGUUGCUCCUGAAAUCCCUCUUCACAUGGCAUCUACACUAUUUAAGAAGAUUACUGUGCAUAAUCCUGUCAUCCACGACAGGAAAUAGAUAUUCCCUAUUUUCACAAUAUUUGCUGAAGAAGACCUCAACUAUUCAGCACUUUUGCAAGCAGCUUGGAGCUCGAGUCAUGAGUUCUAGAGAGCCCAGCAAAAUCUGGCCUUGAAAAUGACAAGGCAUUACUUGGGUAUGAUAUAAUGUUUUUCAUGUAUGAUGUAAGGUGGGGUUUUUUGGUAUUUAGAAGGAAAUGUCUUGAUUUAGAAAGCACAGAUCUUUUAAUAGCCAUGUAACAGAAUAAUAGCCAUGUAAUUUAUUCUAUUAUAAAUCAUGAACA